rnacentral:rRNA from 1 species
AUUGAACGCUGGCGGCAUGCUUUACACAUGCAAGUCGAACGGCAGCGGGGUAGUGCUUGCACUACUGCCGGCGAGUGGCGAACGGGUGAGUAAUAUAUCGGAACGUACCGAGUAAUGGGGGAUAACCAAUCGAAAGAUUGGCUAAUACCGCAUACGUCCUGAGGGAGAAAGCGGGGGAUCGCAAGACCUCGCGUUAUUCGAGCGGCCGAUAACUGAUUAGCUAGUUGGUGGGGUAAAGGCCUACCAAGCCGACGAGCAGUAGCGGGUCUGAGAGGACGAUCCGCCACACUGGGACUGAAGCAAGGCCCAGACUCCUACGGGAGGCAGCAGUGGGGUAUUUUGGACUAUGGGAGCAACCCUGAUCCAGCCAAGCCGCGUGUAUGAAGAAGGCCUUCGGGUUGUAAAGUACUUUUGUUAGGGAAGAAAAGGAAAGUGCUAAAGCCACUUUUAGCUGACGGUACCUAAAGAAUGAGCACCGGCUAGCUACGUG